rnacentral:rRNA from 1 species
AGAGUUUGAUCAUGGCUCAGGAUGAACGCUAGCGACAGGCCUAACACAUGCAAGUCGAGGGGCAGCGGAGAGGUAGCAAUACCUUUGCCGGCGACCGGCGCACGGGUGAGUAACACGUAUGCAAUCCACCUGUAACAGGGGGAUAACCCGGAGAAAUCCGGACUAAUACCCCAUAAUAUGGGCGCUCCGCAUGGAGAGCCCAUUAAAGAGACCCGAAUUUUGGUUACAGACGAGCAUGCGCU